ACCUGCAGAGAGUGUGUUCAGCAGUAAUGGCUUCUAUUAGAAUCAUCUAAUAACGUUUGAUCCUGAGAUUGUUUCACCUUGAUUUGGAACCUAUCUUUACACAUAAUUUGUGGUUUCACAUUAAGACAAUGAUCAGUUAUGCUUCAUAAAGCCUGCAGUUAAAUAUGUUUUCCUUAUAUCAUUCCAAUUCAACCAGCACCACCACCAUACAGCCCCCCAGAGCCUACAGUCGCAUUCAUAGAACUACCUCGAGCUCCAAAUACUGAAAGCCAUCCUGCACCCCCACCAUACAGCCUUUGUGUCAAUCGUGUAGCAGCUCCUCCAGCACAAAGCCAGUCAUCAGCGAGUCCUUCAAGCUGGCCUGCAAGUCCACCACCAUACAGUCUCUAUGCACCUAGGGCAAAUAGUGCAGCAGCAACUCCAGCAGUAAGCCGAUCAUCAUCGAGGACUUCAAGCGAGCCUGCACCCCAACCGAUAUACUAUGCACCUAGGGCCAAUCAUGAAGCAGAACCUCCAGCAGUACGCCAAUCAUCAUCAAGGUCUUCAAGAAUGAAGAAUGCUGGCUGCAUGGCAGGAUGCCUUGUGUUUUUAAUCAUUUUUGCAGUGAUGAUCUGGCAGAUAGUUGCAGGAACAAAGAAAACAGAGUCAGAAAUUCACAAACCAGGUUGGUGAUCUUACAUAACAAAUGAAACCUCGCCUAUAGCUGUUGAGAACAUCCUUUAUAUUGUGGUCCUUUUUAAGACUGAAGAACUUUCACCAACCAUGGCUCUUCUUGAAGGACACAUCAUGUAGGUUCAAUUAAAAGAAAUGCUCAUCUUUUGUGGUUUCUGCACCUUCUACACCUCGGCAGUAGCAUUGUGGACUGAUAAUGAACUUUUAAAGCUACAUAAGCCGACUGCAAUAGGUGGAACCCAGAGUGACUGUUGGGUGUGGUCUCACUUUCCUGUUCGCAGCAUGUUUGGAGCCCCCUUUCCAUGGACUGAUAUUCAAGCAAGUUAUGUGGUUCAUUUCUCAAAUAUUAAUCCUGAUAUAACUGAUUUAGAGAGACCAGUUGGAAUGGAGAGAAGAUAACGAAACAGCCCCAAGUACUUGUAUUAAUGGGGAACUAAUGUCUAAAAUAAAAUAUC